AAGUCGAGGGGAAACGACAUCGAAAGCUUGCUUUUGAUGGGCGUCGACCGGCGCACGGGUGAGUAACGCGUAUCCAACCUGCCCACCACUUGGGGAUAACCUUGCGAAAGUAAGACUAAUACCCAAUGACGUCUCUAGAAGACAUCUGAAAGAGAUUAAAGAUUUAUCGGUGAUGGAUGGGGAUGCGUCUGAUUAGCUUGUUGGCGGGGUAACGGCCCACCAAGGCGACGAUCAGUAGGGGUUCUGAGAGGAAGGUCCCCCACAUUGGAACUGAGACACGGUCCAAACUCCUACGGGAGGCAGCAGUGAGGAAUAUUGGUCAAUGGACGAGAGUCUGAACCAGCCAAGUAGCGUGCAGGAUGACGGCCCUAUGGGUUGUAAACUGCUUUUAUAAGGGAAUAAAGUGAGUCUCGUGAGACUUUUUGCAUGUACCUUAUGAAUAAGGACCGGCUAAUUCCGUGCCAGCAGCCGCGGUAAUACGGAAGGUCCGGGCGUUAUCCGGAUUUAUUGGGUUUAAAGGGAGCGUAGGCCGGAGAUUAAGCGUGUUGUGAAAUGUAGACGCUCAACGUCUGCACUGCAGCGCGAACUGGUUUCCUUGAGUACGCACAAAGUGGGCGGAAUUCGUGGUGUAGCGGUGAAAUGCUUAGAUAUCACGAAGAACUCCGAUUGCGAAGGCAGCUCACUGGAGCGCAACUGACGCUGAAGCUCGAAAGUGCGGGUAUCGAACAGGAUUAGAUACCCUGGUAGUCCGCACGGUAAACGAUGGAUGCCCGCUGUUGGUCUGAAUAGGUCAGCGGCCAAGCGAAAGCAUUAAGCAUCCCACCUGGGGAGUACGCCGGCAACGGU
rnacentral:rRNA from 1 species